rnacentral:rRNA from 1 species
UACGGGGGGAGCGAGCGUUAUUCGGAAUUAUUAGGCGUAAAGGGUUUGUAGGUGGUUUUUUAAGUUGAACAAAACAAAUUAAAGCUCAACUUUAUAAAUUUUUUCAAAACUGAAAAACUUGAGUAUAAAUAGAGGAUAAUGGAAUUUCUAUUGGAGGGAUAAAAUAUGUUGAUAAUAGAAGGAAGAUCAAAAGCGAAGGCAAUUAUCUGGGUAUAUACUGACACUGAGAAACGAAAGCUUGGGUAGCGAACGGG